CAGUAGCCGCGUUAAUACGAACCGUGCGAACGUUAUUCGGAAUUACUGGGCUUAAAGCGCGUGUAGGCGUCUCGGCACGUCGGACGUUGAAAGCCCCCGGCUCAACCGGGGAAGUGGCGCCGAUACGGCCGAGCUGGAGGGAGGUAGGGGGGUCUGGAACUUCCGGUGGAGCGGUGAAAUGCGUUGAGAUCGGAAGGAACGCCCGUGGCGAAAGCGAGGCCCUGGACCUUUUCUGACGCUGAGACGCGAAAGCCAGGGGAGCGAACGGGAUUAGAUACCCCCGUAGUCCCUGUCUCUUAUA
rnacentral:rRNA from 1 species